ACACAUGCAAGUCGAGCGGUAACAGAUCUAGCUUGCUAGAUGCUGACGAGCGGCGGACGGGUGAGUAAUGCAUAGGAAUCUGCCCGAUAGUGGGGGAUAACCUGGGGAAACCCAGGCUAAUACCGCAUACGUCCUACGGGAGAAAGGGGGCUCCGGCUCCCGCUAUGGGAUGAGCCUAUGUCGGAUUAGCUAGUUGGUGAGGUAACGGCUCACCAAGGCCACGAUCCGUAGCUGGUCUGAGAGGAUGAUCAGCCACAUCGGGACUGAGACACGGCCCGAACUCCUACGGGAGGCAGCAGUGGGGAAUAUUGGACAAUGGGGGCAACCCUGAUCCAGCCAUGCCGCGUGUGUGAAGAAGGCCCUCGGGUUGUAAAGCACUUUCAGCGAGGAAGAACGCCUAGCGGUUAAUACCCGCUAGGAAAGACAUCACUCGCAGAAGAAGCACCGGCUAACUCCGUGCCAGCAGCCGCGGUAAUACGGAGGGUGCAAGCGUUAAUCGGAAUUACUGGGCGUAAAGCGCGCGUAGGUGGCUUGAUAAGCCGGUUGUGAAAGCCCCGGGCUCAACCUGGGAACGGCAUCCGGAACUGUCAAGCUAGAGUGCAGGAGAGGAAGGUAGAAUUCCCGGUGUAGCGGUGAAAUGCGUAGAGAUCGGGAGGAAUACCAGUGGCGAAGGCGGCCUUCUGGACUGACACUGACACUGAGGUGCGAAAGCGUGGGUAGCAAACAGGAUUAGAUACCCUGGUAGUCCACGCCGUACACGAUGUCGACCAGCCGUUGGGUGCCUAGCGCACUUUGUGGCG
rnacentral:rRNA from 1 species